UGGGGAAUAUUGCACAAUGGGCGCAAGCCUGAUGCAGCCAUGCCGCGUGUGUGAAGAAGGCCUUCGGGUUGUAAAGCACUUUCAGCGGGGAGGAAGGCGGUAAGGUUAAUAACCUCAUCGAUUGACGUUACCCGCAGAAGAAGCACCGGCUAACUCCGUGCCAGCAGCCGCGGUAAUACGGAGGGUGCAAGCGUUAAUCGGAAUUACUGGGCGUAAAGCGCACGCAGGCGGUUGAUUGAGUCAGAUGUGAAAUCCCCGGGCUUAACCCGGGAAUUGCAUCUGAUACUGGUCAGCUAGAGUCUUGUAGAGGGGGGUAGAAUUCCAUGUGUAGCGGUGAAAUGCGUAGAGAUGUGGAGGAAUACCGGUGGCGAAGGCGGCCCCCUGGACAAAGACUGACGCUCAGGUGCGAAAGCGUGGGGAGCAAACAGG
rnacentral:rRNA from 1 species